UACGGAGGGUGCAAGCGUUAUCCGGAUUCACUGGGUUUAAAGGGUGCGUAGGAGGGCAGGUAAGUCAGUGGUGAAAUCUCCGAGCUUAACUUGGAAACUGCCGUUGAUACUAUCUGUCUUGAAUAUUGUGGAGGUGAGCGGAAUAUGUCAUGUAGCGGUGAAAUGCUUAGAUAUGACAUAGAACACCAAUUGCGAAGGCAGCUCGCCACACAUAUAUUGACUCUGAGGCACGAAAGCGUGGGGAUCAAACAGG
rnacentral:rRNA from 1 species